GAACUUUCACCCAAAAAAAAAAAAAAAAGAAUUUAGAGGGAGACGCUCCGUUGAAAGGCCACGCAUUUUUUUCAGAAUCUGCCCCUUAUCCUUUCUCUCUCACUGUGUAUACAUUUUUGAGAGAACCCUAGAAAUCUGAAACGAAAUUAGAGAAGCGAAAUUUGGGUGAGGAAAUUGAGAACCCAUUUGAGAGAGAAUUGAGGAUUUCCCAUUUUGAAGGACGAGAGCCAGAGAAGCAGAAAGCAGAAAGCAGAAAGCAGAUAGAGAGAGAGGAAAUGGAGAACAGCAACCAGCAAGCUCAGUCCUCAUCAUACCCAACAACACAGCCCCCUUUUAAUCAUCUUCUACAACAGCAACAACAGCAACUCCAGAUGUUUUGGACGUACCAACGUCAAGAGAUCGAACAAGUGAACGAUUUCAAGAACCAUCAGCUCCCCUUAGCCCGUAUCAAGAAGAUCAUGAAGGCCGAUGAAGAUGUUCGCAUGAUCUCUGCUGAAGCCCCAAUCCUCUUUGCCAAGGCUUGCGAGCUCUUCAUUCUGGAGCUCACAAUCCGUUCAUGGCUUCACGCAGAGGAGAACAAGCGUAGAACAUUGCAGAAGAAUGAUAUCGCUGCCGCUAUUACCCGUACCGAUAUUUUUGACUUCUUGGUUGAUAUUGUUCCAAGGGAUGAGAUCAAAGAUGAAGCAGGUCUGGGGAUUUCUGGGACUACCACAAGCGGAGUGCCUUACUAUUACCCUCCGAUGGGGCAGCCGGCGCCUGGCGUUAUGAUCGGCCGACCGGCAUUGCCUGGAAUCGACCCUGGGUUGUAUGCUCAGCCCCCAUCGCAGGCGUGGCAGUCGGUGUGGCAGACGGCGGAAGAUGGAUCCUAUGGGAGCGGUGGUAGCAGUGAACAAGCCAAUUUGGACGGGCAGGCGGGACAUAAACAGAAGAUUGAUUUGUGAGUUGGGGUUCCAAAUUUCCAGAGCAUGUGAAUUCAACCUGUUAAGGACAAAGAUCAGCCUGUAGGAAGGGAAAUUGAUGCUGUUCAUCAAGAACUGCAGCAAAUCAGAUUGCAGGUGUUGCAAUUUGUCCACAACUUUAAAGGAUUGACAAACUGUCUAUUCAUCACCCUCAAAUCAGGAAGCUAUGAAGUGACUAAACUAUCACAGCUAUAUGAUGGACAGUCUGUUAUUUGCUAUUUGAAAUGAUGAAUGCUCUGGAUAAUUUUAUCCAAUCCCCCGCCCAAAAUCGGAUGAAAAGAAAAGGACUUGAGCAAGCAGAAUAGCUGAAGUUUGACCGCUGGAUAGUGGAGACUAAUUCAAAAAGGUGAAUGGUCAUGAGCUGAGAAUUUUGAAGAUUAUCCCUUUUGUUUUAAGGUUCUGUUAGAUUUGGAUGCGUUUCAGUUGUUUGUGUUUGUGAAGUUGCUUUACGUUCCUAGAAAAGCAAAUGUGGUACACCAUUUAGGUUUGGCGAAAAUGGAUUCUAAAGAAGGAAUUUCGAAGGUGUAGUACAACUUGGAUCUCUCACCAUGAGUCCUUGUGUUCGUGGGGAGAUACUCAUAAGAAAUUUGGUUAUAGCUUAGACUUCAUUUGGUUGCAAGGGAAAUCGAAAGAAGGGAAGAGAAAUUUUAAGAACUUUAUAAAAAGAAACUUUUGUAAUUGUUAUUAACAUGAUUGUAUACAUUACUUAAAUUUCUUAUCAUGCUUGAAAUGAUAUUUUUUAGAUGUAAUUUUUAUUUUACUUUUCAAAUCUAACAUAUUUAAAUGCAAAGUAAAGUGAAAUUUAAUAACCAAAUAUAGAAUGAUUUGGAGUUGGUGACAACCAUGUGGGGUAAUGGGUUUUUUGGUUUUGGUAAUUCAUGUGAGCUAAUGAUUACAAAAGUUUGUUUUUAGGAUUUUUUCAUUUUCCUUCCCUUCAAUUUCCUUUGCAACCAAACAGAGCAAGGAAUUUAUAAAGGAGAUGAGAAGUGCCUUCCAAUGGUGGGCGUAACAUGUAAGUGUUGGAUAUGUAUGUCCAUCAAACCUGGUUUAUUAAUAAGACUAUUAUUUUUUAUGCAUGGCAUUUAUUUAUUGGGUUUGUAAGUUGUUCUAUGGGUUUUCACCCAAACUUAUUCUUGGCUAGGGAUAUGACCGAACAUCUUGUUCACAUGAUCGUUACAUUAUAUGUCACCAGAGAUGUGAUUACAGUAUAUAAAUGUAAGUAUACAUAUUGUGUGUAUAAAAAAGAAUCUGGUAAGAAUCUCGCAUGUGUUAUUGCCAGUUGUGUGAGGACGAAAUUCGUAUCUGUCACUUGACCUUUGACCUGAGAGACCCAAUUUAUUGUAGUGGUGUAUAAUGUGUUUUGGUAAACCAAUGCUUGAUGUUCAACGGACUAUAUAUUAGUAUGUUGAACAUGUGGUCCCAUAUUGUUAAUAAAAAAUAUCAUCAACAUGGAAUCCACUGGCUUUAAUUGGGAAUAUCAAGGAGAGAGAAUGUUUGUGUUUGAUCGGAUGGAAAUCUGGUACUAGUGUUGUUUUUGUAAAUUGUUUACAUCGUUAGUUUUUAAUAUGAAAAAUAAUGUUUUAUUUAUUAAAUUUUAUUUGAAAUAUUUUGUCAGCGUCCGAUCAUGUUCACAGAAUAUUUAAAAUAGAUAUGUAUAAUGAGUUGAGGUUAGGUAGUAUUAAAUUACAUUCCCUAUAGCUCAUUAUGGGAUAUUGAAAAAGUAGGUUUUAUAUGCAUGACAAGAUUUUGGGAAUAUUAAAUGGUUAAUUAUUUUUUUUAUUUAUGGUAAUGGAUAAAAUAUAAUUUGAUUAUAUUUGUCACCCAUACUAAGAAAGAUAACAAUCCGUUUUAGAUUCUACCUCUUCCCACUUUAGAAGCAAAUUAGUUGUUUAAUUUUGAAAAUUGUUCUCUAGUCUCUAUCACUAAGAUUUGGAUUUCUUUGUUUUGUGAUUAGAUCAUAUUUUAUACACCCAUGACCGUUUUAAUUGAACAUUUUGAUACUAGAUUGAUGAUAAAAGUGAUUACAUUAUGUGAUUUUCUCACAUUUGCAAGUUAUAUGAUCAUGUGCAUAAAAGAUGCUAAAUGGGAGGGUCCAAUGCAAUUUAGACACCGGUUUGCCCAUGGAUCGAUUCACAUAUGAUCAAGGGCAAGAUGGGAAGAAGUUUCACUGAAGCAAUCCAAGGCAAAUGAGGAAUUUCACUUUAAUUUAAAAGUUUGACCAAGAGAUUGAGCAACAAAGAAGAAUCAGACACGGAAGGACUUGAACAAGUGUGGGGGCAUAAUGAUAAUUUUGAAAGAUAAGGAUUUCGUCGGAACAUAUUGGAUAUUGGGCUCGUUGUGUUCGUAAUUUAAAAUGAUGCAUCUUUAAAUCUCAGUUUGAAUCAAUCCGGGGUCAGGAUGGAGAGAUAUAGCCUAAAAACCGCUUUGAGUUAAGUUGGAAUUUAAGUUGAAUUUUAGAAUUUUUAAAAAUUAACUAUAUUAUCUCUCUCCUCUUGUCUCUACUAUACCUAACUCUCUAUUUCUACACUCUAUUGCCUCUUGGUUUCAUUCUUUCUUUCCCUCUUUCUUUUAUAAGUAUCUUUCUCUUUCCUACUUGGUUUCUAACUCUCCACUUCCUUAUCUUACAAGUAUCUUUCCAUUUUCUGAACUACUUCUAACACUCUCUUUAGCUUAUAUAUAGACACCUAAUUCACAACUUGAGAAACACAAAUUUUUAGAGAGCUUUUUCUUAUUAGUUUUUUCUUUUCUUUUGAGUUGUAAGUAAAGAUUGAAGUUGAAGUUCUUAAGCUUGGAAUUUGCAGUACAUAUUUAGUAAAAUACUUCUUUUUAUUUUCUUUUCAAUUUCAGAUUUAAUUUUAUAUAAUGUCUUAUCCAUUUUCUAGUUGUUUUUCAUCUUUCCUCAUCCCCAUGGUUAACUAAAUUCUGCAACUGAGGAAUUGGAUGAAACCACGAGAUGAAGAGCAACUUGUAAGCAGUUGAUACCCAUUUUCUUAAUUCCAUGUAACCAAAUUGCAAAGUCAAAAUUAUGUAUGCCAUUGAUUGCCUUUCGUAUUUGUGAUUAUCAAUUUCUAAUAUAGUCUUGCUUAUAAUCUCAUGUUAUGUAUGUGUUGAAUAACUCAUGGGACAUAUUAGAUUUAAAAAUCCAUAUUUCUUAUUGACCUAUUCAAGCAUGAGAUAUAGGGCUAGAUUGUUUAUAGAUUGUUCUUAAAUCUCUUGGUGGAUUCUAAUUCCUAAGUGUUUCCCCACAUCAUAAUUUCACAUCUCUCUAGUACUUACAUAAUUUUAGGUUCAUUAAUUCAUUCUAAUUUUAAUAUUAGGUUCACUUUAUUAUUGCAUGUUUAAUUUAAUUCUAUGGUUAAUUCUUGUCUUUUUCACCAUUAUUAGUUUAGUUUACUUUAAUUUGUGAUACCCAUUAGUUAGUACAUUCUACCUAAGUUGGAACUGAAUUUUUCAUAGAGCUCACCUCCCUAUGAUCGACCCUUAGCUACACACGACCCUGCAGUUGCUUAAGUAUGGAAGAACUAUACUCUGAAGGAGGAACUUCAAUUGCGGUUCUAAGAUAAACCAUUUCAUUCCCAUGUAGUUAAUUUUUGUAUAGUGAUUUCGAAUGCAAGAGAUCCCAAUCUGAUCACUUCCAUUGCAAAUGGGUUCCAACCAACAGUAAGAAUGUUGGAUCUCUCUAUCAAACUAUGUGUCAAACCUUUCACAUGAUUUUUUUACUUGAAAAAAGUGUUUGGGAAAAGGUUUUUUAAGCCAUCGGCGUAGAGUAUGCCAACACCUUUUUGUGUAUCUCUCUCCUCACAUUAAAUGACUUCACUGCACUAUGAAGUAUGAUUCUGUUUUAUCGCACCUCCUUGGUGUGUUCACCUUAUAUUGUUUGCUUAGAGAACUCUCACCCAAAGAAUAUUACAUAUAAUUGGAGAACACACAUUUUCUCUCUCUCUCUCGACCUCCCUCUUUUCAUGAUCUCAUUUUUCUUGUAUUAAGGAAUGUUGAACCUAAAUGCUCAUAUUAUUUUGAAUAUGUUUCGGAUAUAAAAACUAUUGAUUGAUGUGCGUUGGUGUUCUAACAUGUGAUGUGUGUUGAUGUUUUUCUAAGAAAAAUGGAAGUCAAAGCAAUGAGGAGAAUCCUAUGGAGCAAAAGAAGCAUAUUACGUUGAUGAGUAAUUGUUGGAUACAGUUAACAAGGGAGAGUUGCAAUUGCCAGUGAAUAAGAAAGACGAGAACUUCAAGACAAAUUAUUUUGAAGAAGAUGAAGUCUUUCAAGGAUAAAAUUAUUUGUUUGGUAGUGUCAUCUAUUGUAAUCUUGAUGUUGAUAACCACACUACAUGAUUGUUAUUUCAAUGUUAGUGUAGACUCAAAUUUAUGUACCA